AGAGUUUGAUCAUGGCUCAGGACGAACGCUGGCGGCGUGCUUAACACAUGCAAGUCGAGCGAGGAGCUUGCUCCUAGCGGCGAACGGGUGAGUAACACGUGGGCAACCUGCCCCGAACUUCGGAAUAACUUCGGGAAACCGAGGCUAAUACCGGAUAUGACAUUGGGGGACAUCCUCUGGUGUGGAAAGAUUUAUCGGUUCGGGAUGGGCCCGCGGCCUAUCAGCUUGUUGGUGGGGUAACGGCCUACCAAGGCGACGACGGGUAGCCGGCCUGAGAGGGCGACCGGCCACACUGGGACUGAGACACGGCCCAGACUCCUACGGGAGGCAGCAGUGGGGAAUAUUGCGCAAUGGGCGAAAGCCUGACGCAGCGACGCCGCGUGAGGGAUUAAGGCCUUCGGGUUGUAAACCUCUUUCAGCAGGGACGAAGCGUAAGUGACGGUACCUGCAGAAGAAGCACCGGCCAACUACGUGCCAGCAGCCGCGGUAAUAC
rnacentral:rRNA from 1 species